CCUACGGGAGGCAGCAGUGGGGAAUAUUGCACAAUGGGGGAAACCCUGAUGCAGCGACGCCGCGUGUGUGAAGAAGUAACUCGUUAUGUAAAGCUCUAUUAGCCGGGAAGAAAAUGACGGUACCUGAGUAAGAAGCCUCGGCUAACUACGUGCCAGCAGCCGCGGUUAUACGUAGGGGGCCAGGGUUAUCCGGAUUUACUGGGUGUAAAGGGGGCAUAGACGGCAGUGCAAGGCUGGAGUGAAAGGCGGGGGCUCAAACCCCGGACUGCUCUGGAAACUGUACGGCUGGAGUGCAGGAGAGGUAAGUGGAAUUCCUAGUGUAGCGGUGAAAUGCGUAGAUAUUAGGAGGAACACCAGUGGCGAAGGCGGCUUACUGGACUGUUACUGACGUUGAGGCUCGAAAGCGUGGGGAGCAAACAGGAUUAGAUACCCGAGUAGUC
rnacentral:rRNA from 1 species